CCUACGGGUGGCAGCAGUGAGGAAUAUUGGUCAAUGGCCGGAAGGCUGAACCAGCCAUGCCGCGUGAAGGUCAGUGCCCUAUGGGCGUUAAACUUCUUUUGUGCGGGAGCAAUAAUGGUCACGUGUGGCCAGACGAGAGUACCGUACGAAUUAGCAUCGGCUAACUCCGUGCCAGUAGCCGCGGUUAUACGGGGGAUGCAAGCGUUAUCCGGAUUUUUUGGGUUUAAAGGGUGCGUAUGCCGGGAGGUAAGUCAGCGGUGAAAUGCCCCCGCUCAACGGGGUGAAGUGCCAUUGAUACUGCCAUGCUGGAAUGCAGAUGCCGUAGGAGGAAUGUGUGGUGUAGCGGUGAAAUGCAUAGAUAUCACACAGAACACCGAUUGCGAAGGCAUCUCACGAAUCCGCGAUUGACGCUGAUGCACGAAAGCGUGGGUAUCAAACAGGAUUAGAUACCCCAGUAGUC
rnacentral:rRNA from 1 species